UCAAAACCUACAAAAGAGUACACGUUUAGUAUAUUGCAUUGAGAACGUGUUUCUAACAAGAUAUAGCUUCCUAUUUUAAUAAGCUAACAGGUCUAUGGGAUGAACUUGAUUCUAUGUGUGUUAAUCAUGGUCAAAGGUGUGUCUGUGCUGCAAAAGAUGGUAUAGUUCAGGAAUGUGAUGAAAAUAAGGUCUUUCAGUUUUUAAUG
rnacentral:lncRNA from 1 species